rnacentral:rRNA from 1 species
AAUGAACGCUGGCGGCGCGCCUAAUACAUGCAAGUCGAGCGAGAAGACGUAGCAAUACGUUUGUAAAGCGGCGAACGGGUGAGGAAUACAUGGGUAACCUACCCUCGAGUGGGGAAUAACUAGCCGAAAGGUUAGCUAAUACCGCGUACGCUUCUUGGACUUCGGUUCAGGGAGGAAAGCGAUGCCGAGGGUAUCGCGCUCUUGGAUGGGCUCAUGUCCUAUCAGCUUGUUGGNGAGGUAACGGCUCACCAAGGCUUCGACGGGUAGCUGGUCUGAGAGGACGAUCAGCCACACUGGCACUGCGACACGGGCCAGACUCCUACGGGAGGCAGCAGUAAGGAAUAUUGCGCAAUGGGCGAAAGCCUGACGCAGCGACGCCGCGUGGGGGAGUGAAGGUC